rnacentral:rRNA from 1 species
AUGAACGCUGGCGGCGUGCCUAAUACAUGCCAGUUGAGCGAACGGACGAGAAGCUUGCUUCUCUGAUGUUAGCGGCGGACGGGUGAGUAACACGUGGAUAACCUACCUAUAAGACUGGGAUAACUUCGGGAAACCGGAGCUAAUACCGGAUAAUAUUUUGAACCGCAUGGUUCAAAAGUGAAAGACGGUCUUGCUGUCACUUAUAGAUGGAUCCGCGCUGCAUUAGCUAGUUGGUAAGGUAACGGCUUACCAAGGCAACGAUGCAUAGCCGACCUGAGAGGGUGAUCGGCCACACUGGAACUGAGACACGGUCCAGACUCCUACGGGAGGCAGCAGUAGGGAAUCUUCCGCAAUGGGCGAAAGCCUGACGGAGCAACGCCGCGUGAGUGAUAAAGGUCUUCGGAUCGUAAAACUCUGUUAUUAGGGAAGAACAUAUGUGUAAGUAACUGUGCACAUCUUGACGGUACCUAAUCAGAAAGCCACGGCUAACUACGUG